rnacentral:rRNA from 1 species
ACAAGGUUGAUAGGUCAGAGGUGUAAGUGUGGUAACAUAUUUAGCUGACUGAUACUAAUAGGUCGAGGGCUUGACCAA